UACGUAGGGACCAAGCGUUGUCCGGAAUCAUUGGGCGUAAAGAGCGUGUAGGCGGCUUGUUAAGUCUUGCGUGAAAUCUCGGGGCUCAACCCCGAGCGGUCGUGAGAAACUGGCAGGCUAGAGUGCGGGAGAGGAGAGUGGAAUUCCUGGUGUAGCGGUGAAAUGCGCAGAUAUCAGGAAGAACACCCGUGGCUAAGGCGGUUCUCUAGUACGGUACUGACGCUGAGACGCGAAAGCGUGGGGAGCAAACAGG
rnacentral:rRNA from 1 species